UUCCGGUUGAUCCUGCCGGACCUGACUGCUAUCGGAUUGAUACUAAGCCAUGCGAGUCAUUGUAGCAAUACAAGGCAGACGGCUCAGUAACGCGUAGUCAAUCUACCCUAUGGACGGGAAUAACCUCGGGAAACUGAGAAUAAUGCCCGAUAGAACAUUAUGCCUGGAAUGGUUUAUGUUUCAAAUGAUUUAUCGCCAUAGGAUGGGACUGCGGCCUAUCAGUUUGUUGGUGAGGUAAUGGCCCACCAAGACUAUUACAGGUACGGGCUCUGAGAGGAGUGGCCCGGAGAUGGGUACUGAGACACGGACCCAGGCCCUAUGGGGCGCAGCAGGCGAGAAAACUUUGCAAUGUGCGAAAGCACGACAAGGUUAAUCCGAGUGGUUUCUGCUAAAGAAACCUUUUGUCAGUCCUAGAAACACUAACGAAUAAGGGGUGGGCAAGUUCUGGUGUCAGCCGCCGCGGUAAAACCAGCACCUCAAGUGGUCAGGAUGAUUAUUGGGCCUAAAGCAUCCGUAGCUCGUUUUGUAAGUUUUCGGUUAAAUCCAUACGCUUAACGUAUGGGCUGCCGGGAAUACUGCAUAACUAGGAAGUGGGAGAGGUAGACGGUACUCGGUAGGAAGGGGUAAAAUCCUUUGAUCUAUUGAUGACCACCUGUGGCGAAGGCGGUCUACCAGAACACGUUCGACGGUGAGGGAUGAAAGCUGGGGGAGCAAACCGGAUUAGAUACCCGGGUAGUCCCAGCUGUAAACUAUGCAAACUCAGUGAUGCAUUGGCUUGUGGCCAAUGCAGUGCUGCAGGGAAGCCGUUAAGUUUGCCGCCUGGGAAGUACGUACGCAAGUAUGAAACUUAAAGGAAUUGGCGGGGGAGCACCACAA
rnacentral:rRNA from 2 species